rnacentral:rRNA from 1 species
ACGAACGCUGGCGGCGUGCUUAACACAUGCCAGUCGAACGGUGAAGCGCCUUCCUUUUUGGUGGGUGUGGAUGAGUGGCGAACGGGUGAGUAACACGUGAGUAACCUGCCCCCUUCUUCUGGAUAACCGCAUGAAAGUGUGGCUAAUACGGGAUAUUCUGGGUCUGUCGCAUGAUGGGUCUGGGAAAGAUAUUGUUUCGGUGGGGGAUGGGCUCGCGGCCUAUCAGCUUGUUGGUGGGGUGAUGGCCUACCAAGGCGGUGACGGGUAGCCGGCCUGAGAGGGUGGACGGUCACACUGGGACUGAGACACGGCCCAGACUCCUACGGGAGGCAGCAGUGGGGAAUAUUGCACAAUGGGCGCAAGCCUGAUGCAGCGACGCCGCGUGAGGGAUGGAGGCCUUCGGGUUGUGAACCUCUUUCGCCAGUGAAGCAGGCCUGCCUCGUUUGUGGGUGGAUUGACGGUAGCUGGAUAAGAAGCGCCGGCUAACUACGUG